CACAGGUGCUGCAUGGCUGUCGUCAGCUCGUGUCGUGAGAUGUUGGGUUAAGUCCCGCAACGAGCGCAACCCUUGUCAUUAGUUGCUACAUUCAGUUGGGCACUCUAAUGAGACUGCCGGUGACAAGCCCGGAGGAAGUGGGGAUGACGUCAAGUCCUCAUGGCCCUUAUAGGUGGGGCUACACACGUCAUACAAUGGCUGGUACAAAGGGUUGCCAACCCGCGAGGGGGAGCCAAUCCCAUAAAGCCAGUCGUAGUCCGGAUCGUAGUCUGCAACUCGACUACGUGAAGUCGGAAUCGCUAGUAAUCGUGGAUCAGAAUGUCACGGUGAAUACGUUCCCGGGUCUU
rnacentral:rRNA from 1 species